UACGAAGGGGGCUAGCGUUGCUCGGAAUCACUGGGCGUAAAGCGCACGUAGGCGGAUUCUUAAGUCAGGGGUGAAAUCCCGGGGCUCAACCCCGGAACUGCCUUUGAUACUGGGUAUCUCGAGUCCGGAAGAGGCGAGUGGAAUUCCUGGUGUAGCGGUGAAAUUCGUAGAUAUCGAGAGGAACACCGGUGGCGAAGGCGGCCAACUGGACGAAUACUGACGCUGAGACACGAAAGCGUGGGGAGCAAACAGG
rnacentral:rRNA from 1 species